UUGGAGGGCAAGUCUGGUGCCAGCAGCCGCGGUAAUUCCAGCUCCAAUAGCGUAUAUUAAAGUUGCUGCAGUUAAAAAGCUCGUAGUUGAAUUUCGGGACCAUCAUGUCGGUCGUGCCUCGGUACGUACUGGCAUCGUCGGUUUCUCCCUUCUGACGAACCAUGAUGUCAUUUAUUUGGUGUUGUGGGGAAUCAGGACUGUUACUUUGAAAAAAUUAGAGCGUUUAAAGCAGGCUCACGCUUGAAUACAUUAGCAUGGAAUAAUGAAAUAGGACGUUUGAUUCUAUUUUGUUGGUUUCUAGGAUCGACGUAAUGAUUAAUAGGGAUAGUUGGGGGCAUUAGUAUUCAAUUGUCAGAGGUGAAAUUCUUGGAUUUAUUGAAGACUAACUACUGCGAAAGCAUUUGCCAAGGAUGUUUUCAUUAAUCAAGAACGAAAGUUAGGGGAUCGAAGACGAUCAGAUACCGUCGUAGUCUUAACCAUAAACUAUGCCGACUAGGGAUCGGAUGAUGUUAAUUUUUUAAUGACUCAUUCGGCGCCUUACGGGAAAC
rnacentral:rRNA from 1 species